GGGUUUUCCUAGAGCGUAGGGGCGGAGAAGUCAGCCCGAGCCUCCAAUUCCUCUGAAGCUGAAGGAGGCUUUUAGUUUCAAUUACUUCUAUGCUAGGGUGAGGAAGGGUGGAACCGCAUCCCGCAGCCACGAAUGUCUUCUCCUGUGCCCGGGGCAAAACGGCCCAAUUGAUAACGUUGUCAGCAGCACACACAACCAUUCUUAUAACUUGAGCGGCUGCUAUUCUGGGUGGAAAGCGAUAUCAGACCGACGGUGAGCAGCCGGGAGUCAGAGAAACAAAGGUUUGCACCGUGACUCUUUUGCCUUUGUGCCGAGGUUUUAAUCAUUUACUCUUGUGCAUUGUAACCACAUUUCACAUUAUAGUAGUUAUAACGUUUAAAUUGUAGCGUUCCCCUUCCUCCCUCCCCCGCCCUCCCCGAGAGCGGGCCUGCGCCCACAAGGAAGGCAAACCUUCCGGGAAUAUAUGAAUGUAUUCUACAUAAUAUGCUCUACACAAAUAGGCCUUUAUUCAAAGCUUUCGGAUAAUGGCAAAGAUUUCCCUCUGGAAUAAUUUAAGAUUAUGCUAUUCUACUAGCAAGGUUAUACCAAAGAUUAAGGACCCCCAAAGAAAUUUUUUUAAGGGUUAAAAACUGGAAAGCUAGAACGGAGUUUUUCAAACAUAUUUAUCAGAAUUAACUGGAAGGCUUGUUGAAACAGAUUGUUGGGGCACACCACCAAGAGUUCUCUGAUCAGGACCUGGUAAUUUGCAUUUUUACCACGUUCCCAAGUGAUAGUCUGGGACCCCCACCCUAGGAAACUAGGUUUCCUCUCCACUAGGCUUGUCUUAAAUUGAUAAACUGUGAAUUUGCUUAUAUGAGACUGAAAUAAUUUUUUUUUUUUUCCUAAGAAAGGACGUCUAAUUCACUCCAGAAGAUCACACACAUAGUAUGGUGUUAGACUGGCCUGGGGGUGGAAUGUGGGUUUUUCAUUCAUUUGAUAAAGAAGUAUUUCUCAUCUCUUAUGGAUGAGACUAUGCUGACCCUGAAUAUUCAGAAUGCACAAAAUGGUAAGGUCUCUCACAGAGUUUGCAGUUUAGUGGGGAAACGUAGAAACUGUUAAAAAUAUUAGAAGGCAGAGAGCAGGAGAUGAGAAAUGGGUAUGAUAGGUGAGAGAAUGGCAGGAAAGUGAGAGAUAGGAAGGCUUCUCCCACAUAAUGACAUUUAAAAGCUGAAGGCUGGAAGGUACUAAGAGUUAGGGGAAAGGAUAAGGAAAAAGGGGAGCCCUCCAGGAAGGGGGAACAGCAAACAUCAAGUCCCUGAGAUGGGAAAGAGCUUGGCUUCUUCCACAAAUUGGAAGAAGACCCAAGAGGUCAAAGUGAAGUGAGCCAAGAAAGAUGAAAAGGAAGUUGAAGUCAGAAGAAAGAAGCAGAGGAUACAAGGAUUUGUAAACUUGUGUGAGCAUCUUAAAGUUUGGCCUAAAAGCAACUUGGAAGCCAUUGAAAAGAUUUAAGCAAAGAAACAUUGUGGCUGCUUUGUAGGGAAUGGAUCCUCCAAAGUAGAGUGAAGUGCAUCUUCUGCUUAAAUUAUAUGCUGUAGUUCAGGGAUAGGAAUAUGUGAGGAGAAGCAUCCAGAUGGGAUCAGCUAUGUGCAGAGGAGAUUCACUUAGGGGAAUCAUCAUCAUCAAUUAGUACCCAGCAUACCCACAUCUACUUACAGAAAAAUAAAUAAACAAACAAACAAAUAAAUAAAUAAUCCUGGUGGGUGGCUUUCCUCAGAGAUAAACAAACAAAUAAAUAAAUAAUCCUGGUGGGUGGCUUUCCUCAGAGAUUAUCUUCCAAGAAGUCAAACAGAAGUGGUUCUUUUUUCAGAUGCAUGUUUGGGUUUUUUUCCCCUUACAUUUUAGAAGAUGCUAAAUGGGAAUUCUCUGCUGCCUUUUCCACCAUCAGGUCAUUUGGGAGAGCAGAUGCCCGAAGAUUGGUUCUGGCAGAAGAGGGAGAUGUGGCUUGCUUGGGGUAUAUUGUUGCUUCCAGCAUUACAGAUAAGUUAUCCUGGGACCUGUGUGCUUACUCUGUUAAUGCUACCAUUGUACAAAAUAUUUUUGGAAGGUCUCCUUCAGACUUGCCUUCAGAGCCUGUAGCACAUUCCUGUAAAUAUCGUCAUUGAUGGCAAAUCUUGGCCCUUGUGGGUAGAUUUGACUUUGGAAUUAGCCAAAAGUCAUUUAACUGAGAAAAUAACCCCACCAGAAUCUGAAGAGGACCUGGUACCUGAUAAGUGCUCAACAAAUAUUAGUUGAAUGAAUGAGUUUAGUAGUAAAAGCAAAACUAUAACUAUAUUAGAAGAAAAUUUAGGAAAAUAUUUGUGUAAUCUCAAAGUAGAGGAGAUUUUCUUAAGUAAAAAUAGAAACUCAUAGCCAUUAAUGGAAAGAUUUGGUUACAUAAACAAAUUUUCAUUGGUUAAAAAUUUUUUGAAUUUAUAGAAGAAAAUAUUUACAUCGCACAUGACAAAAGUUAGUAUCUCUAAUAGUUAAAAAUUAUAAGAAAAAAGCAAAUAAUCCAGAAAAUUAGCAAAAGGUUUCAACACAAACACCCUACUGAGGAAAUUUAAAUGGACUAUUAACAUAGAGAAAUAGUAUUUUUAUUGCUGGUAGUAAGGGAACUACAAAUUAGACAAUGACAGAUAUCAUUUUUCACCCGUUAUUCACAACACUUAAAAAGAGAAAAAAAUAUCUAAUGCUGAUAAGUUUAUAGGAAAACGAACAUGCCUUGAAUACUGUUCUUGAGAAUAUAAAUUGCUAUAACCUCCUACAAAGUUAACCAUCAGUAUCUAUUAAAACUUAAAAUUUUUGUAUGUUAGUCUUAGGGAUCUCAUCUGGGUGACUCCUUUAAAAAAUGUACUGGAUGUUGAAGGAAGAGAAGAUUAUGGUCAUGAGGAAUUAUUUAAAAAUUGGAAGAUUUAAAAAUAUAUUCUUUAUUUCAAGUGCUUCUGUAACCAGGUAAAUCUCAGGUUUCUUUUAACUUAGGAGAGCCUGGAUGUUGAGGGACACUCACAGUCUCUUCCAUAUGUCCGCAUUAAUUUGCAGGGAUAUGCAGCUGAGAUUGACAUGUAUGCUUUCUCCUUAAGAACAGCAACUGGAUUUUAUUUGAGUGCCUAUGUGCCCAGCCAAACUACCACAUUUCUCAAUCUCAUUUUCAGGUAGGUGUGGCUGUCCAGUUAAGUCACUGCCAAUAAGAUAUAAGUAUUCUGGAAAAUAUCUUUAAAGAUAUUUAGGAAGAGCAUUUUGGUUUUGUGUCCUCCACUUUUCUUCCUACCUGAAACACAAAGUGAUUAGAGCUUCUCAGUCAUUAUGGAUUAUUAACUCACCUUGAAGACUAGAAGCCAUGCCUUAAAGUGGAGCAUAAAAAUAGGAGCUUAAGUCCCUAAUGGCUCUGAAGUACCCCAUAAAAGCCUUGGAUCACCUACUUCCAGAUUUAUUUUACAUGAGAGAAAAAUAAACCCUUAGUGUUUAAGCAACUAUAACUUGGCUUUUUCAGUUAUAUUCAGUUAUGCAGCUGAAUCUAUUUCUAAUUGUUAAUAUAAUAUGUUAAAUACAAAAAGCAAGUUGCUAAAUAGUAUCAGAAGGAUAUAAACAAAUGUUUUUAGAUGAUAAGCCACUAAUAUAGAAAAGUGGAUUGGUGAAGGUAUAAAUAAUAGGGAAUAGAGAGGACCAUGUUAAAUUGGAAAACUCAUGCAGCAUCAAUAAUAUUAUUACUGUGUAGGCAUGUGAAUCCAGAUUUUCCAGUUUUCAUGUUAAAAUUGCCUAAUAUUUUGCACACAAAACAGUUUUCCUGAUAUAUCCAGACUUUAGGCCAUCAGUUUAUGACCUUUGAUUUAUAGUGUGAUCUAACAUUUGGAAAAACACAGAAAAGGCAGGAGUAAAGGAAGAAAAAAGAAACAGUGAGCCCUAAAUAUAUAUAUAUAUUUAUAUAUGGUAUAAACAUAGAGAUGAUAUGAAAAGUUGUGUAUAAAACAAUGGAAAUCUAAGAUGGAUGAUAUUAAAGAGGAAGAUUAUUAACUUUCUCAUAUUUUCUGUUUUGUUACAAUGAAUGUAUAUUAAUCUGUAAUUUUAAAAUAUCUGGUAGUAUAAGAGGAAAAUUUCUAAGUUGCUGAGACUGAAAAUCCAAUGUCAAUGCCACAACACAAUCAUAGAAAGCUUUAAUGAUAAUUCAGUCUGAGCAAGUUCAGUCUGUUUUAGGAACAAUCAUUAAUUUAAGUAUUAAUAUCUAAAACUGGAAAAAAACAGAUGUAAGAGGGAAAAUACAAACACAUUGUACGUUGCAGUGACUUUGUACUGGAACUGGAAAUCAUAUAUAAACGUGUGCUUGCUAGUUGGAGAAAAAAAAUGUUACAGGAAAUGAUACCUUGAUUGUCUUUAAAACAAAAAAUAAAAAGAAGUGCGUUCUUAAUUCUUUGAAAUUACAAUGUGGUCCAAUGUGUACAUUGUAUUUGGUUUAACAUGUCAUGUUGGUUUUUACUAAAAUGAGCUCUAGUUUUACAGCAGCUCAGAUCUUUAAAUAUUCAUUCCUUUUUUUUUCUUAAAUUUGUCUCAAGCAUUGCCAUUCUCUUCAAAACACGUGUUUGAAAAAUGUUUGGGCUUCUCAUCUCAAUUUAA